GGGAAACCUAGCACUUCUUUGUUUCAGUGAUCGGAGAUGAUUUGUUUACAGGAUGUCUCUAAUUUUUGAAAUUCGAAAGAGGUGGGAAAAUCUAACUUUAGUACAUUAGAGGUUAGAGUGAUGCAUCAUAGAUUCUUUUUGUAUUGCUUCAGCUUUUACUGGAUUUGAUGAUGUUACUGCAAGUGUUGUUAUAAAAUGUCUGACAACGUACAUAGAUUGGGACAUGAUAUAAUGGCCCAGCAUGCUUUCGUUCGUAGGAAAAGAGCUAGACUCUUUCGUUCGGUCGUUGGUACCAAUUCGUUUGAUGUUGAAGCAUCGUCUUUCGUUGUUCACAUGUCUCCGACAUCAUCAUCCGAGAGACAUGAGUUCAAUGUUGUUGCCUUUAAUGCCCCAAAAAAUCCAACAUGUCGAUGUUGUUCCUGAUGUUUAUCUAGAAGACCUCUCAAACACCUAACUAUGUUGCCUGUAUGUAAAUCAUGUUGUCAAGCACGUG